AAAUAUGGGACUUAAUUGCUUGUUAUUGGCUUUUUUUUAAAAUUAUUAAUUCUUUCACGUGCAAAAAUCCCCCCAAAAUAAUACAUAUCAUACUAAUAGUUUCUAUUGCUUUCUAAUUACAUUAUACUGGGUAGAAAUAUGCAAUUAUUUAGCAAAUAACGUGGGAAUGAACUCAAACUCGGAGAGGGCGUGGUCUAAAACUGACUGCAUGGUGUAAAUCAGGGCGGAGCUUAGAGAUGCUAUAUGUUUUUUGACUUGCACCACGAGGUUCAUAACAGCGUUCAUUCUCGGAAGAGGAAGAGAAAGGGAAGGGGGACGUGCACGUAGCUCAUUUCGCUCUCCGGACCGAAGGAGAUGGACACCUGAACGGGACAUAUGGGUGUAGAAACGGAGGGUUAGCCAGAGAUGCUGAAUGGAUGGGGCCGUUGCGACGUCACGCGGAGCCCCAGCCGCGCAGCGCACGAGCCAACACUAGACGACAUUGGAAAGCUCGAGGCGUUCUCGACCGCAGAGCUGUCCGUUUGACCGAGAAACCCGUGUGAAUCCAAAUCUCUAAUUCCCCCCUAUGGCUGGAAGAGAUGGUUGGCCGAAGGGGUUGGCUGUUAUCUUUGGUUAUCUAGCUGUAUGAGUGAUGUACGUUCUUCAUAAAGCUAGAUAACCGAAAGUAACAAGAAUCCCAUUACACACCUAAAAGGCCACACCCAUCCAACACUCCACAUCCCACCCCUUGCUUUCUCUUCUCACAAGACCCAGGACAUGAAAAGGCAUCCAGAAAGAGCAGAAUCGACGUCCAGUCUCUGUGUCGAAAAGAUGCCAGCGAAAGGGAAGGAAAACAUGGAGGAUGUUAUGGAGGAGGGGAGGGUUGGUGUUGAGACUCUCUGUGCCCCACUAUGCAUUGCUGCUCUCAGCCCCUCCUCUCACUGCCUGCCUGCCCCUUCCUCUUGUGAUGAGCGGCAAUCCAUGCUUCACCACCAUCUUAGAAAGCGCUGGCAUGAAAUGGAAGAGGGAGGAAGAAUGAGCAGGUGAUGGAAGAAUAAAAGAGGAUUUUUUAUAAAUGACAUCUGAUCAUGGAUAACAAAUCAAUGCCUGCUGAUGAAGUACUUGACCCAGACGUCUGCACCAUUUCAUUGUGUGCCCCAACAUUAUAACAUUUAAGCACUUUAAAUGCCUCUAUUUCUUUUGCACAUUUUUAAAAAAUGUUUAAAUUGUUUACUUUUUUCUGCUUUUACAUUUUUGUUAAGGUAAUCAUAUAUUAUAAUUUAGAAUCUAUUAUAAUCUGACAUUCUAACAUUAGCUCUGCAUCCUCUAUCUGGACAAGUAAUUGCAAUUGAUUCAAACAUAUCAUCUUAGAUUAGUUUGCUACAAUAUGAAAUGCUAUGUUAUUUAUUUAUUUAUUAUUAUUUACAGAGGCCAACCAAUAGAUAAAUUUAUAGUGCUAAUUAAUUAAAGUGUAAAGCUUUAAUAUAGCACAAACUCAAUCUUUAGCAUAGAGCACUUCAAACAUUCGUGUAACCUUUCCGUCAUCCCUUUCUCAUGUCUUGUAUUUAGUGUCACGUGCUUGAGAGCAUCUGCUAUGAUAAAAAUGACACUGUUAGACUUGAUUGUAAUGCUAUAUUCAAAAUGAGUAGCUAAAUGUUAGAUUCUGAAAACUGUAGACUGCUGAACUAAUGGUGUAGAGAUCAUGAAUGUGAGACCCAUGGCAGCAGUUAAGGGUUACUGCACUGCGAUUGAACAGCUCUGUGUGUUAUUUACACACCUGGUAUAGAGAGAGCUGUUGUCUUUAUUCUCUAUGCAAUUGAGUUGGUCAUGCUAUCAUUAAUCAUUAAUCAUUAAUGAUCAUUAACUAUUAACUAUCAUUAAUGAUCAGUGCAGGACCUGUCCUGAGCAGAUGGAACCUCCUUUAUUCAAAUUUUUAUUCAAACAAUAUUUUAAAUAUGUUAUAAACAAUGCUGGUGUACUAUUAAGGAGAAGAAUCACUACACCAUACUUUACAUGGUCUGUGUUAUGUUAUUUUAUUUUGUCUAUGUUGUCUGAUUGAACCUGCAGUCAUUAGAAGUAAUAAUGCCACUUACAGUACUAAUCAAGUAAAAUCCUUCUACUAAUAAUAAUGUAAAAUACUACUACUAAUAUUAUUAUUAUUAUUAUUAUUAUUAUUAUUAUUAUUAGUAGUAGUAGUAGUAUUUUUAAUAAUCCUCAUUCCUGAUCAGCUAUUUUGUUUAAGUAUUAUUUACAGUACUUGAUCUUAUAAUUAAAUUUGGGCAGAGGCAAACAUAUAUUUUCAAUGGUCUAUGCAAAUAUAUUAAUAUUUGAUCAUAUUAAUGAAAAUUGUGCAAUUUAUUUUGAGACCCACUUUUGUUAUCAUGGACAGUGAUGCCCUUAAAUCAUCAAGCAAGUAUUUAUUUUAUUAAUUAUUAUUAUUAUUAUUAUUAUUAUUAUUAUUAACAUAGAAAUGUAAGAGGAAUGUUAGUACUAUGAUUAAAAAUCAUUUACUAUGCAAUUUAUUGUGAAUCACAAUGAUGAGUGUGUUUCUAAAUGUUAUAUUUCCUGGUGUGAGAUUCUUGAUGUUUUUAAGAUGUAGGCAACUUGUCUGUAAAGACUAAUAUGAUUAUUAUUAGACAAAUCGUGGCAUUGAACUAAUUUGUCCUGUUAUGAAUACUAAUAAAAGUUUACAUUGAAAACAAAGGAGAAUUGUGCAUUUCUCUUAAACAAACAGUGACAGAAAAUAAUGGCGGUAAUGCUGAGGUUUUCUACAAUCCCACAGUCUACUGCAUAUAAACUACUCUAUUUCACCAUGUAUGCACAGGGACAUUCUUUAAUAUGAUAUACUGUUGCACUUUAUAUGUCUACACAUUAGAACUAUUCAACAAUCAAAGCAUUAAUGUGUGCAAGAUUCUAAGAUGCACAUCAGUUUAAUAUGUGUAGGUGGACCUUUCUGGUUCCUAUACACACACAGUCAGUGGUUUUACAGGCAAUGCCAAGGAUGUUUGCAACUGAGACAUUUGCAAUAAAAUAACUUGAUGCCUGCAUUAAUAUGCACAGCAAAUUAUAUUAUGCCCAUAUGAUGCAUGCAAUACCACUGUUGAGCUUGUUUUGGGAGUGACAUACAUUCUGGACAAACAUUUUUCUCUAAUGGCGUUCCAGACAUAUAUGUACAAUAUAAUCAAUAGAAGGCAUAUCACAGAAUUCCUCUCUAAUCUACAGCUCAGUUUAAUGCAUUAAAUCUAUAUAUAAUUAAUAAAGAAGAGAUCAUAGUGAAUCAAGUCCAUAAACUGGUAUGGAUGGUGACAUGUCUUUAUUUCUUGAAAAACCUAAUCUCUCAACUGUCAGUGUGCCAAGAGGCAGAAUGCACAGUGUACUGUAGAGUGUAAUAAAGCUGAUAUUAAAACACUUUUGGGUGAGUCGGUACCACAAGGCAACAGAAGGCACAUAACAGGAUUAGCCCUGGCUUCCAUACUUCAUGCCACAUUCAGAGCUGGGUCACCUAUGGGGCAGGAGCCAGCAAGUCGUCUCACUAUUAGCUUAAUUAUUAUUAUUAUUUAUUACUUAUUUAUUUAUUUUUACAGCAUAGCUAUUUAAAAUUCAGGUUGUAAUUGUUGUGGAAAUCACAUAAAUAUCAGCAAAUAAAUAUAGUGCAAUGUGUUGUUAAAAAUAGUACAGUUUCAUAAGUGUGUGCCCUUCAUUACUUCUCAAUCUGCAGUUCUG
ensembl:lncRNA